GGCUAGGAACAGCCAUAUUUAUACAAUAUCGCAAAUAUAGCUGCUCUUAUUUGUUACAGUUAAUUAUAGUGUAUACAGAAGAUUUCAUCCUCAGACAAACUGGUACAACACAUGGGAUAAUGUAAUUUAAUAGUCGGACCUAAUUUCCUUUGUGCAAUAGAUCUGGCUUGUAUGACAGAUUUACCCGAUCUUUUCUUGUGUAGAAGGCAGUGUGUAAUAUUUAAUUUAAAGUACAGACAAUAGGGAAU